GGAAGGCUGCUGAGGCAAGAGGCACCCAAAAAAGGGACAGAAAUCACUUCCUGUCACAGAGGACUGUGGAGGUGAAGGUGUCACAGCUCUGGCAGAGAUGGGGCUGAAGGGGCACUGGCUCCAGCUGUGGGGUAAAUCCUCAUCCUAAUGAACACCGAGGGCAACCUUGAAUGGAAAGUGAAGGGAAGAGAUGUCAUGAAAUGGCAACAUGUAUCCGAGAGUGUCUCAGGGACUGAGAGAGCAUCAGGAGUGCCACGACCAGCCUGGACUGCCCUCGUUUUGGGCCUCUGCAAUCCAAGCUCCUCCAGGGACCUCUUUCUGAGCUGAACCAAGGCCUGUCAAGCUGGCCUCUGCUGCUCUGAGGUAUAAGGCAUGCUCUCUUCCCUACAUGCUGUCCUCCUCCACACUGAGACACAGUUCCCCCCGCCACCAAGUAUAGUGGCCAAUGUUUUCUUUCAAAAUGAGGCUUUGAGAAAAGCUCCUCUUAAUCACUGCCAAAUAGUUGUUAGUCUGGGAUGAAGAUGCAGGAAUCUUGCAUUUUUUGUGUAACUUCCAAGGGAUUCCCAUUUACACAUAGAAAGCUGUCCUGUAGAAUGCCAGGCGACCGCCUACCACACCCAGCGGGUCCACUCUUACACCCUCUCUCUCCUCUUAUCGUAUUGAGAAGAUUCCAGGGAAGAUGUCUCAACAAUGACCUCAGAGAAGCCAGUUGCAGUUUUUAAUAAUCCAUCCUGUUUGGAAGUUUUCCUUCGGGGUCAUCUGUAACACCAUUUUCUGCCCCUUAUCUAAAUUCUUUGGUUUAGUUUUAAUUCUCUUUUUGCUUUUUUUCCUGUAGAAAUGGAUACAUCAGUUGUCCUCCCUCAUUGUCAUUCAUCCAGAUUUCUUAGUCAUUCAUUCAUUCAGGCUGCCGUUCUGGACCCUACCGCGUGUUAAGUAUUCAUUUUCCCCCCAGAAAUUCAAGGAAAGAAAGACAGUACUCAGAUACAGAUCUUUUUGGUGCUCUACAAAUAAAAAAGUUUCAUCUUUUCUUCCUUUCCUGCUCCUCUCCUGAGCCCUGCUUCUCCUGGCAGGUUGCACUGAAGGACCUUUGGUGGCUAGUUAAAAAAAAAAAGAAGACGAC